AUUGAACGCUGGCGGCGUGCCUAACACAUGCAAGUCGAGCGGUAACAGGUGUAGCAAUACAUGCUGACGAGCGGCGAACGGGUGAGUAAUGCUUCGGAAUCUACCCAAUGGUGGGGAAUAACCAGCCGAAAGGUUGGCUAAUACCGCAUACGUCCCACGGGAGAAAGCAGGGGAUCGCAAGACCUUGCGCCAAUGGAUGAGCCGAAGUCGGAUUAGCUAGUUGGAGGGUAACGGCCUACCAAGGCGACGAUCCGUAGCUGGUCUGAGAGGACGACCAGCCACACUGGGACUGAGACACGGCCCAGACUCCUACGGGAGCAGCAGUGGGGAAUAUUGGACAAUGGGGGAAACCCUGAUCCAGCGACGCCGCGUGUGUGAAGAAGGCCUGC
rnacentral:rRNA from 1 species